AUGUGCAUGACAUGUAAAACACAGUGGAACUGCUCAAUGGCUAUGGGGGGGGGGAGGGGGGGGGAGGGGAGGGGGGACGACCAGCCGAAGCGAGAGCGAAGCUCCGGCGUUCCUCCGCCAACCGGGGACAGAGGGAGGGGGGCGAGGGAGGGGGAGAGAGGGCCUAGGGCCCUGCCCCGCCCCCGCGCAGGGAUCCGCGCCACUGGCAUCAGCCCCCACCCCAAUCCCCCUCCCACCGCCCAGCGCCUGACUACAGUUCCUAGCCCCCUCCACCCCGACUGUCGACAGAAAGGGACGAAGAUGACGAGAACUGCUGUGAGCAAAGAGGGGAAGCUUCGGGAUUCUUUUUCUUUUGUCCUUGGUGCGGAAGGAUUUUCAUGGCGUGGAGAGUGAUUAUACAACCGCGAUGACGCAAGCCCUUCCUCCCCUCCCAGUCCUCCCCAACCUGCCUUCCCCAAGGGUGGAGGAAAGGGCGCACGCGCCACUGGAGAAAGAACGACGUCAUUGGUCAUCUAGUCCAGCCCUCGAAGCGAGCAAACAAGGAUUUAUCUAGCUGUGCUUAAAGGAGUUUGUAGUCAGCCGGGUAGCCCUCGGGGAAUUCUGAUUUUGUUAAAAGACAUAGCGUUUUUCCCCUUCUUCUGAAGUGGUGGAAUAUAGUAAUAAUAGUUAGCAUUUUUAUAUAUUGCCCGAAAAUUGAUAACACUUUGAAAAUUGUGUAUCAUUUUAUCCUCACAACCCUGGGAGGAGGUCUUUAUAGAUGAAACAACUGAAGCCCAAGUUAGUUCGUAUGUGUGUUUGCUAAUCACUUAUUUUCAGGAAAUAUAUCUCAGAUUUGACUGAGAGAAUGCCGAUGGAAUGAUGCACAUAUAAGGAACAGAGGUAGUGUCAUAACUUUUGGGAAAAAACAUUCAGAGAGCAAGAUAGGAUGUUGCCAAUAGGAAGUAAAAUCAAGAUUACAUCAAUGUGUCUUUGAUUUUGUGGACUUGGAAAAAACACAGAACUUAUAAAGUAGUCAUAAAAAAUAAAUCUUUAAUCAGGAAAGAGACGAGUCCUUAA
rnacentral:lncRNA from 1 species